rnacentral:rRNA from 1 species
GUGAGGAAUUUUCCGCAAUGGGCGAAAGCCUGACGGAGCAAUGCCGCGUGAAGGAUGAAGGCCUAUGGGUUGUAAACUUCUUUUCUCAGAAAAGAAUUAUGACGGUAUCUGAGGAAUAAGCAUCGGCUAACUCUGUGCCAGCAGCCGCGGUAAGACAGAGGAUGCAAGCGUUAUCCGGAAUGAUUGGGCGUAAAGCGUCUGUAGGUUGUUUAAAAAGUAUUCUGUCAAAGAUUAGGGCUUAACCCUAGAUAGGAAGAAUAAACUUUUAAGCUAGAGUUUGGUAGAGGCAGAGGGAAUUCCCGGUGGAGCGGUGAAAUGCGUAGAUAUCGGGAGGAACACCAAAGGCGAAGGCACUCUGCUGGGCCAAUACUAACACUGAGAGACGAAAGCGAGGGGAGCAAAUGGGAUUAGAUACCCUAGUAGUCC